rnacentral:rRNA from 1 species
AUGCCCGAAAACUUUACAAUGCGGGCAACCGUGAUAAGGGAACCUCCAGUGCCUGUAAAUGCAGGCUGUUCAGGUGCCUAAAACACACCUGAAGAAAGGGCCGGGCAAGACCGGUGCCAGCCGCCGCGGUAAUACCGGCGGCUCGAGUGGUGGCCGCUUUUAUUGGGCUUAAAGCGUUCGUAGCUGGGUUGUUAAGUCUCUUGGGAAAUCUGGCGGCUUAACCGUCAGGCGUCUAAGGGAUACUGGCAAUCUUGGAACCGGGAGAGGUGAGGGGUACUUCGGGGGUAGGAGUGAAAUCCUGUAAUCCUCGAGGGACCACCUGUGGCGAAGGCGCCUCACCAGAACGGCUUCGACAGUGAGGGACGAAAGCUGGGGGAGCAAACCGGAUUAGAUACCCGGGUAGUCCCAGCCGUAAACUAUGCGCGUUAGGUGUAUCGGUGACCACGAGUUACCGAGGUGCCGAAGGGAAACCGUGAAACGUGCCGCCUGGGAAGUACGGUCGCAAGGCUGAAACUUAAAGGAAUUGGCGGGGGAGCACCACAACAGGUGGAGCCUGCGGUUUAAUUGGACUCAACGCCGGGAAGCUCACCGGAUAAGACAGCAA